UACGUAGGGUGCGAGCGUUGUCCGGAAUUAUUGGGCGUAAAGGGCUCGUAGGCGGUCUGUUGCGUCGGAAGUGAAAACUCAGGGCUUAACCCUGAGCCUGCUUCCGAUACGGGCAGACUAGAGGUAUGCAGGGGAGAACGGAAUUCCUGGUGUAGCGGUGAAAUGCGCAGAUAUCAGGAGGAACACCGGUGGCGAAGGCGGUUCUCUGGGCCUUACCUGACGCUGAGGAGCGAAAGCAUGGGGAGCAAACAGG
rnacentral:rRNA from 1 species